UACGUAGGGUGCAGGCGUUAAUCGGAAUUACUGGGCGUAAAGCGUGCGCAGGCGGUUUCUUAAGUCAGAUGUGAAAGCCCCGGGCUUAACCUGGGAACUGCGUUUGAAACUGGGAGACUUGAAUGUGGCAGAGGGGGGUGGAAUUCCACGUGUAGCAGUGAAAUGCGUAGAUAUGUGGAGGAACACCGAUGGCGAAGGCAGCCCCCUGGGUUAACACUGACGCUCAUGCACGAAAGCGUGGGGAGCAAACAGG
rnacentral:rRNA from 1 species